UAAUGCUGUUACUUAAAUCCCCAAACUUUUCAUUUCAACUCAGAAAUAAAUACUAUUAAACCAUUUUUCUAUUUUCCCAUAUAAAUUUCUCUUGAAGUAAGACAAAAGUAUAAGUAAAACUUUGGGAAUUAUUAUGGCAAAUAUUUUGCUAAAGUUUGUUUGGCACAAAGACAUCAAGACACCGUGAUAUGACAACAUUGCUUAAACUGAAAUAAAACCCCAAGAAAAGAAAACGGAAGCAAAAAGAAGAACUCUAAUGCGAGACAGUGUGUCAUCAAAAAUGCAUCACAUGCAGCAGCGCAUUUGCAACACCUUUUCGUUUGCCCCAUUUCUGUUGCACACAGUGUGUUUCUUUUAGUUUUAUUGCCAUAUGAUUUCAAGCGAAUUGCGUUCGAGAAUUUGCCAAGGAACGUGCUCAAAUGUGGUAUUAUGUGUUUAGCUUAAAGUUGGUAAAAUGUUUGAGAAAAAACACAAAAAAAUCUGCUGUUUAUGCUCGCACUUGAAAGAACUUUAAACGGUCAACGGAUGUUUAGUCGAGAGCAAAGAAGAAAAUGCAGCAAUCUGUGAAACAUUGUGCGAAUUAACUUGGCCAGCAACAACAAACAAAAUUUCUAGGGGACACAUGCUGAGGCAACGCCUUCGAUUUCGAUUCGUAGCGAUUCGAUUCGUUGUGCAAAUUGUCUAAUGGGGCAGCAGUCGAUCUCCUCAUCUGCUUGCUCCGCCCUUCCCCCUGUCGACUAUCUUAUUCAUGAAGUGCAAAUUGGCAAACGAAAAAAAAGCAAGCAAAAGAAAUGGCAAGGCAAGUAGAAGAUUUGUGUGGCAAGUCUGGCAGUAACUACAGCUGCAGCAGAGGUGCUUGGCGAGAGACAUGCGGAAAUAACAAGCAUUUAAGUGAAUUUAGUGAAAGAACACAUCAGCAACAAAUCAGCAGGCGACAAACUGGAGGAGGGAAGACUCUGAGUCUGAGUCUGUGAUAACCGAAGAGGCCAAAAAUAAAACUCGAGCUAGGAAAAGUGUCGGGCAGACCUUCACUUAGUUUGGGGUUAAUGUUUGCACAUCGAUGUUGCCCUCCACCUUCCAUCUCCAUCUCCUUCUGCUGUUCUGCUGCUGUUUGUUGUUGUCAUUUUACACUAUUCCACUGUGGCUGGCUUACAUGUGCCACAAGAGACUAGACAAUGUUUGUGUGUGCUUGGUUGUGGCAGGAAAUGGCAAAUAUAAAUCGUUGAGAGCUGCGACGGAUUUGUGGAUUUGUGGACGGGCAACAACAACAGCUGGCAUCCACAACAGCAAAAUCUCUUUGACAUUGGACAUUGCCUUUUUGCAGCAUUGAACUUUGCUAUUCAAAACUUGUGGCAGCUUUGACAGAAACAAAUCGCCAGCUAACUGAACCAAUGACUUGGAAGAGAUCCCACUUGAAAUUAUGACAUGCAAUUAGCAAAGAUUUGCUCAGCGCUUAAAUAAACAAGAGACUCUUUUUAACUACAAAUUCUAAACAAUUUUUGAAUGCAGCUGAUAAGUGCGACAAGAUAAUUACAUUUUUAUAUAAUCGUAGUACUUUUAUUAUGUUGAAAAUAUGUUGCUUAAAAGUAGUUUUUUUUAUUAUUUAUGUUAAGCUAAAAAUAUAUUUUAAAAAGUA